rnacentral:rRNA from 1 species
GAUGAACGCUAGCUACAGGCUUAACACAUGCAAGUCGAGGGACCGGCGCACGGGUGAGUAACACGUAUCCAACCUGCCCUUUACUCGGGGAUAGCCUUUCGAAAGAAAGAUUAAUACCCGCUCUAAAGGACGGGGAUGCGUUCCAUUAGUUGGUUGGUGAGGUAACGGCUAACCAAGCCUUCGAUGGCUAGGGGUUCUGAGAGGAAGGUCCCCCAGAUUGGAACGGGGACACGGUCCAAACGCCUACGGGAGGAAGCAGUGAGUAAUAUUGGUCAAUGGGCGGUAGCCUGACCCAGCCAAGUAGCGUGAAGGAUGAAGGCUUAUGGGUCGUAAACUUCUUUUAUAUAAGAAUAUGUAUUAUAUGAAUAAGGAUCGGCUAACUCCGUGCCAGCCGCCGCGGUAAUUC